AUUGAACGCUGGCGGCAGGCCUAACACAUGCAAGUCGAGCGGAUGAAGAGAGCUUGCUCUCUGAUUUAGCGGCGGACGGGUGAGUAAUGCCUAGGAAUCUGCCUGGUAGUGGGGGAUAACGUCCGGAAACGGGCGCUAAUACCGCAUACGUCCUACGAGAGAAAGCAGGGGACCUUCGGGCCUUGCGCUAUCAGAUGAGCCUAGGUCGGAUUAGCUAGUUGGUGAGGUAAUGGCUCACCAAGGCUACGAUCCGUAACUGGCCUGAGAGGAUGAUCAGUCACACUGGAACUGAGACACGGUCCAGACUCCUACGGGGGGCAGCAGUGGGGAAUAUUGGACAAUGGGCGAAAGCCUGAUCCAGCCAUGCCGCGUGUGUGAAGAAGGUCUUCGGAUUGUAAAGCACUUUAAGUUGGGAGGAAGGGCAGUAAGUUAAUACCUUGCUGUUUUGACGUUACCGACAGAAUAAGCACCGGCUAACUUCGUGCCAGCAGCCGCCGUAAAAC
rnacentral:rRNA from 1 species